rnacentral:rRNA from 1 species
UACGAGGGGGGCAAGCGUUGUUCGGAAUUAUUGGGCGUAAAGGGCGCGUAGGCGGUUUGACAAGUCUGAUGUGAAAUCUAUGGGCUCAACCCAUAGCCUGCAUUAGAAACUGUCGGGCUUGAGUAUGGGAGAGGUGAGUGGAAUUUCCGGUGUAGCGGUGAAAUGCGUAGAUAUCAAGAGGAACACCUGAGGUGAAGACGGGUUGCUGGGCUGACACUGACGCUGAGGCGCGAAAGCUAGGGUAGCAAACGGG